GACGAACGCUGGCGGCGUGCCUAAUACAUGCAAGUCGAACGAGAGCGACCGGUGCUUGCACUGGUCAAUCUAGUGGCGAACGGGUGAGUAACACGUGGGUAACCUGCCCAUCAGAGGGGGAUAACAUCCGGAAACGGAUGCUAAAACCGCAUAGGUCUUCGAGCCGCAUGGCUUGAAGAGGAAAAGAGGCGCAAGCUUCUGCUGAUGGAUGGACCCGCGGUGCAUUAGCUAGUUGGUGAGGUAACGGCUCACCAAGGCCGUGAUGCAUAGCCGACCUGAGAGGGUGAUCGGCCACAUUGGGACUGAGACACGGUCCAAACUCCUACGGGAGGCAGCAGUAGGGAAUCUUCCGCAAUGGACGCAAGUCUGACGGAGCAACGCCGCGUGAGUGAAGAAGGUUUUCGGAUCGUAAAACUCUGUUGUUAGAGAAGAACAAGUGCUAGAGUAACUGUUAGCGCCUUGACGGUAUCUAACCAGAAAGCCACGGCUAACUACGUG
rnacentral:rRNA from 1 species